ensembl:misc_RNA Y_RNA Y RNA
UGUUGGUCUGAAUGCAGUUGGUGUUUACAACUACUUAAUCAUAACUGGUUUAUGGAUUUCUUUGUUCCAUCUUCACUUCCACUGCUCCACUUGACUAGUCUUUA